GGUAAAUGGCAGAUUUUGCCCCUUGGGGGUAGAAUGAGAUCAUAAUGUCUGCACUAGGGUGUUCACAAUGACAUCCUGGAGACACAGUUUACAUCUUUUUUAUCUAGCAUCAACAGUCAGUUCUCCCACACCCCACCACAAGGUCUCACAAGAAAUCAAGGCAGCUGGCCCUCACCCAGCUUACCAGAGGGCACUCAUACUCACUGGAACUGGUAGAUAAGCCACUGCGGAGGACACUAGAACAACGCAGCCUCCCCUGGUGGAGAAAGGGAUUCAUUCAAUUUUUAAUUAAGAGGCAGGAAGCUAUGCUUUCACACAAAGAGAAAACCAGUUCAGAGUUCACAGUGAAAAUGUAAACGGUUAGGCAACUCUCUAGAACUUUGAGACAUGAGACAUCUAAAGGAAUGGACAUUAAAGUCACUGCCACCCAACAAAUACAGCCAGAGUGGUGUCCCUUAGACAGGGCCCCCAGACUAAAGUAGCACACCCAGAUGACAAAGCUCAAGUAAUAUCAAAUGUUGUAAGGACCUUCAUGGAGCCAAUAGGUGACCAAGGAGUCCCAAGCCUUGACCACCCCUGUGUAACCACAGGAUAUACAGAAGGACCAGGCUGUGUAUCUGGUCAAAGAAGGUGUUCGUGGUACCUCUGACCAGAAGAGAAACAGGUCAGGUGGCCUACAGUGGAAGGCAAGCAUGAGAGAACGAGAGGUACUGUGACCACAGCUAACUGAAGCAGUGACUAACUGGCCAUCCUGGGAUUGGGCCAGGCCAGAGCUGGAUCCUGACAGAGAGUGAAUAAAAUGGUGUUUCUUGCCUCCCAGGA